rfam:Schistosoma haematobium scaffold2344_3, whole genome shotgun sequence.
AGCUUUCUGAAUCCGUGUCGAGAUUUCGCCAGACACCAGCCCAUCGGGACUGAUGGGACUCCCAGGAUAAGUGAAGCG